AACGAACGCUGGCGGCAUGCCUAACACAUGCAAGUCGAACGAUCCCUUCGGGGAUAGUGGCGCACGGGUGCGUAACGCGUGGGAACCUGCCCUUAGGUUCGGAAUAACUCAGAGAAAUUUGAGCUAAUACCGGAUAAUGUCUUCGGACCAAAGAUUUAUCGCCUUUGGAUGGGCCCGCGUUGGAUUAGCUAGUUGGUGGGGUAAAGGCCUACCAAGGCGACGAUCCAUAGCUGGUCUGAGAGGAUGAUCAGCCACACUGGGACUGAGACACGGCCCAGACUCCUACGGGAGGCAGCAGUGGGGAAUAUUGGACAAUGGGCGAAAGCCUGAUCCAGCAAUGCCGCGUGAGUGAUGAAGGCCUUAAGGUUGUAAAGCUCUUUUACCCGGGAUGAUAAUGACAGUACCGGGAGAAUAAGCCCCGGCUAACUCCGUG
rnacentral:rRNA from 1 species